rnacentral:lncRNA from 1 species
UUAUUUGUUAUUACAAAUUUCUGCUUUGCUGCAACCCUCUGUUUCCCUUUGUUAACUUGGGGCUAUUCUAAGUUGUCUCACAUAAUUUUUUACUUUUAAAAAUUUUUCCUGUUAGUUAAACUUCUGCUAAGUUUGCUAAGCUUAAUAGUUGUUUAUUAUGCCAUACAGGAGUACUAGUUUUUGUCUGAGUUUGGCCUCUGAGCAAGAAAAAAUUGUCACAGAGAAAUGGUUGCCUGAACUUAAAGCAGCAGUUUUGAAUGCUGAGAAGUGCUUGGAAGACUGCAAAUAUGUGAGAACUUUGGUGAGUAAACGCUGUAAUCAAAUGAUGCAAGUAUAGAUGAGUCUGGGGUGGGCAUGAACAUAAAGUUAUUUUAUAUGUUAGUCAUGAUAUUUAAGUUGGUUCUAAGCUAAAUUUAUUCUUUACUAUUGAUUCUAUGAGAAUUUUUAUGAAAGAAUUUCAUUUGCUUCUCUUCAAUCAAAGGGUUAUAUACCCUUUUAGAUGAGGGAAAAAGGCAGGUUUCUAUCCCUUUUUUUUUGGAAGAUAAAUCUAAAGUAAUACAAUUUAGGUGCAUCUUAUUACUUGCAUACUACCUGUUGCUGUAUGUUUUCAAGUUUAGCUUAGUGGCAAGUUCUUUAUAUCUCCACACCCUUUUAUGCAAUGUCAUUUAUAUAUGUAUAUAUAUUUUUACAAAGUUAGCAUUGCUGUGUUUUGGUGGUUAAGGAACAUAAUUAUAUUAUUUUCACUAUUGCUUUAUUCAUUUCUGAGUUUAGUUAUCGAGCCUUUUGAUGCCUUUAAAUGCAGCUUGAUGAGUGGUGGGAGCAACCAGCAUCUACUGCCGUUGACUGGGUUACUGUUGAUGGGCAAAAUGUUGUUGCUUGGCAUAAUCAUGUCAAGCAACUUCUUGCUUUUUAUGAUAAAGAACUCUUGUGAAUAAGAUCUGAAUAUCAGCGUUACAAAAAUCUUCUUAUACUUGUCUCAGUUGCCCAUAUAUUUUUGCCACGAUUGUGCCAAUGUGUAAAAUUAUCUGCCGCUCGGAUAUACUUGGCAAUGCAAGUAAGGACAACUUGAAGGUUAUUUUUCAAUGACAACUUAGGAGGUUACUUUUCAAUGAUAACUUGGAGGUCAUUUUUCAAUUUGGUAUACAGGACGCAGAGGUGGUUGGAUGUUAGGCAUUUUCCAGUUUGGGAUGUAAAGCAUCAGCUGUUGUUAGAAGGUGGAGAUGAGGUAAUUUUAUCCAAUGAUUGAAUUUGAAGUGUUCUACAAUUGUUUGGUUUUAUUUUUGUGUACAGAAUUGUUCAUAAUAAUUUUCUAGUAUGAUAGGUCGAAAGUUGUGUUGGGUGGUGAGGGGGUUUCUCAUGCAUUGUUGUUUGCAAGUUUGAGGCAUUUGAAAAAUUGCCCAUCAAAGGGUUGUAAUCUGCAAUUUGUAUUUGUAGCUUAAUUGACAUUGUUUAAUCUAACCGAAAGUUGCAACUGUAGUGUUUAUCAAAAACUUCCCAUGAUGCCUUUCAAGAGGUCAAGGUCAAAUUCUAAUAACACUCGCUCCUUUCUGAUUAAAGAAUAAAUAGAACAUAAAUGCAUUUAAAGCAUAUAUGUUCAAGUGUGGGCACCUCUUUUCACUUGUUUUUUUCUCCUUGCCAACUUUUUUUCCAGCCAUGAUCUGGGAGAAGCUGGAAAAAAAAAAAAAAAAGCUAGAGAAGCCAAAUUUGCAUUGAUUAAUUAUAUUUAAGGCUGAUAUUAUGCUUAAUGAUUUAGAAAUAGGUUGGAGCAUAGAUGCCUUUGUUUUAAAACAAUAAAACAAAUUGGAGCUUGUAGUAAAUAAACAUGAGUAGAUUCAUAUUAUUAGAUAAAUAAAAAUAAUGACAAAAAAGAGAAACAAGUCCUGUCAAUAUAAUCAAAAGAAUACUGAAAAAAAUUAAUAUUUGAUAAAUCGGAAUACAAUGCAAUAUAAGUAAUUUACUUUUUACUAAUAAAGUAGCUUAAAGAGAAAGGUGAUGUUUAUUAGUACUAUGAUUAAUUCUAAGUUGGGUGUAAAUGUUCUUUUUCUUUUUGUUUUUUUUUUUUAAAGAAUAUGGGAAAUAUAUUCAUGAGUAAUUAAUUUCAAUCAUAAAGAUGGAUCCAAGGAGGGAAAUCUGGAGAAAUUCCAAUAGAUACUGUGAAGUUUUCCUAUAUACUUGCUGUUCGUGCAAAAAAAAUAAAUAGGAGUCCACAAUAAAAUAAAAUAAAAUAAAAAACAAUAACAACGAAAUGAUUUCAUUUUAUACACCUCAAUUAUAAUUUAUUUAUUUUAUAAUUUAAUAUGUUCUAACAAUUUAGUUAUUGUAAAUUAAAUAAAUAUAAUCAAGUUAGCCUGGAAAUAAAUAUUUUAAUUGUACUUUUCAUUGUAUGAGAUAUAUUUUUGAACUGAAUAAAUAAAUUAUUUUAAAAAACAUGAAAACUAAUGUAUAAGUUUUACGAAAUUUGCAAGACUAAAUCACAUUAACACAAAAAAGAAAUUAAAACUAAAAUUAUAGAGUCUAUCUUGAAGGAGGAAUUUACGGCUAGCGGAAAGCUGACAAGUAAACGAAGAGCACAAACCUCAUAAUGUCGUCCGUGAAGAAUAGACAUAAGAAGUGCUUUCAACUGCUUAUACACGCCCGUGAACUGCAUUAAGAUGACCAUGAACACCCAGACGAAGCUGUCUCUUUACAACAGUAAUUAAUUCCUUCUGUGUCUCCAUCACAAUGUCCCCCUUUUCUUACCCUCGAUUCAAGGGAGCCACCUAAGACUUCGUACUCUAUUUGCUGUCUUUAAUUUUUUAUUUUUUAAGGAUUAUAUUCCCUUGCUCAAUUAUGGAGAUAAACUUCACAUCUUCAACUGCAUGUGCAUGUGUAGAAAGGAGAAGGACAACAACUCAGAUGCUUUGAAGUUUGAACUUUCACUACAGAAUUCGCAUUUGGACUCGUCUGUCCAAGAUAAAUAUGAACAUAUAAUUUCAUUAUUAAAGAAAGAAAAAUAUAAAUAUAAAUAAUAAUUUUUGUUGAUGAUAGAUAUUAUGAGAAAAUAAUUUAAUUAUAUAAUAAUAUCAAAUAAUGAAGACUAAAGGUGAAAUAUAUUCUUAAAUUAUAUGUGCCCAUAUGGACAUAUAGAAACAAACAAACUUAUCACCUCAUCAUCACAUGAAGCUCAAAUCAUGGGUUUUCAUAACAAAGCAGCAAUUGACAGUCUUCUUGGAGUGUGAAAUCUGGUAGCUUCUACAGACAUUAUUAAAUAUCAUAUGGCAUCUUAAAAAAUUAAAUAACCCCACGAAAAAGAAAGGUUCUACCUUUUUUUCUCUUGAAGUGAAAUUACGUUAGCCCAUCAAACAAACCACAUUCCCAAAAUGGUGGCUAUCGUCAGCCAGACACAGAGUCUCGCGUACACGAAACUUGUGGCUGCUCUUACAGGUCUCGUGAACCAACAGGAUCCCAACUAUUGCCGCCGACCGAUCCGUUCGUAAUUUUACGCCAACUAAAGAACAAACUCGAUGAAUGAAUGAUGCUAAAUUAGGGCCUCUCUCCUUAUCUACUUCUUCAUCCCAAUUUUUUUUACCUUCUUUUGAGCUGUUGGCUGGUAGGAAAGUGAACUCUCAUUUACUGCUGCUAGUUUGCAGUUCACUGGUUUUUUCAUGAAUGACAUAAAGAGCCCUUCAUGCUUCUGCCUAUAUAAAAAGC